CAAUAGCGUAUAUUAAAGCUGUUGCGGUUAAAAAGCUCGUAGUUGGAUUUCUGUCAAGGUCAACUGGUCCGCCCUCCGGGUGAGCACAUAGUUUGGUCUUGGCAUCUUGCUGGAAACUGUUGCUGCGCUUGGUUGUGUGGUGCAGCUUUCAGCACUUUCACUUUGAGGAAAUUGGAGUGUUUCAAGCAGGCACAUGCCUUUGGACACAGUAGCAUGGAAUAAUUAGAUUGGGCUUUUGCUCCAACUUGUUGGUUCCUGGAGCUGAGGUGAGAAUCAAUGGGGAUUGUUGGGGGCAUCCGAAUUUAGCCGUCAGAGGUGAAAUUCUUGGAUCUGCUAAAGACGGACAACUGCGAAAGCGUUUGCCCAGGAUGUUUUCAUUGA
rnacentral:rRNA from 1 species